UUUGGCUGUGAUGACAAACUUGCCCUCACUGAGAUCUGUGACUGAUUCUUAAUUACUGAGCCAAA